rnacentral:tRNA from 1 species
AGGCUCAUAACCUUGGGGUUGCAGGUUCGAUUCCCACUACCG